GCGGGAGUAGCACAAUGGUAGUGCCUCAGCCUUCCAAGUUGGUCAUGCGGGUUCGAUUCCCGUCUCCCGCU
rnacentral:tRNA from 1 species